GCCAGCGCGAUUCUGUUUAUUCUCACAAAACUUAAAGCAUGUUAGAACCCAGCGCAAAGAUAUCGGGUCUGUAAAUUUAGAAAAGUUCUCAGGACAAAUGCAGGAGUUGUGCUGGAGCAGAACUUGUGCUGGGGCAGUAUUUCUGUGCUCUACUUCUGUUUGACCCCGCGCCGCAAUCCACUACCCAAAACAACAUCUCCCUUUUCCUCACCAAAAGAUGCUCAGAGUCUCGAUCCGCCAUUUCUCCACCCAGGCACCAAAGCCUGAGACUCGCGCUCACAGGCUCUUGACGAUGUCGGGGAUCACCUCUCUGGUCGUGGCCCCUUUCAUCCCUCCCGCGAUCCAGAGCUCGCGCGAAAAGAGGCAUGGAAGCCCACAUACGAAUAAAUAUCCACCCCUCUGCUUCCAUGCCCGCUAGAAAACGCGAUUAAAACUAUAAAUACGUUUUACCGACGGCGUUAUCUGUAAAAUAUACAGAGACCGCCUACGCUUUAUGUCUUGACCUAAGGCCUGCUUUUUACCUAGGAUGGGAGUGAGUCAUUCGGUAACACUUGAGAUAUGGGAUAGCUUCUGUUUUUUGCGCAUGAGGGCUUGUGGGGCUGCGUUAUUGGGAAAAUAUCUUGCUGCGUCUACUUGUUUUAUUUGAUUUACAUUUAUAUUUCCCUUUUUUUUUUAUAGAUAGUACAGUACAGUACAAAUACCUCAGGUGUUUCGAAUACUGGGAUGGAUUGGGAUAGGUAUGACUGCUCUCUUUUUCAUGGACUUUGGACGCGACCUACGAACCUUUGGGCAUAAGAACAAACAUGAUCAAAUUUGGAUUUGGAAAUGGGUUUUCAAACCAAUUAACAUUUUCUUCACAUCCGUUAAGAUCUGUACAAGGAGGGCUGAGGAUUCAGAGCGCGGUUCGAUCAAAUUUAACCAUACAAACUUUUUCUACAAUAUAAUUCAAAUACAAAUACACCACAUACCUUCCCCAAAUGUUUCCAGAUAGUCAAGUUUCCAGUUCUAUAUGACUACCUCCUUUUCCUUGUUUGGCCCUCUUUCCCAUUCGCAUACGCAGCACUGGUUAACAAAAUAAAAUGACAAAAUGCUUCUCAAAAAAAAAAAAAAAAAAAAAAAAAAAGCCUUGUAGUCAGCUCAAAGCCACAAAUUCAAAGCCGAUUCCCCUUCCUCGACGUAUAUGCCUCUGCUGCCUCGUAUUUUCCUUUUUCAUCAAUCUUCUCCGCCAGCGUCUCGGGUUCAUGCCUUGUCGCAGCAGGGUCAUGUCCAGCUUCCCGGCUUGGAUUGCCCGUGUCAUCCGCUUGUGGAGAGAAUUUCGCGCGGCCGGCUGAGGGUGAGGACUUUUGUGGCAUUGUCGUCGACGGUGCGAUUGAGGACGGUGAUUUUACGGAAUUUUCUCUUCGGAGGGCUUCCUCUUUACGUCGUUGGGCUUCUUCGUGUCGGUGGGCGCGGUCGGCGUUUAUGGAUUUUUUGGCAAAGUAGUAGGCGCCACCGCCGGCGAUACAGAGGGAGCCCCAGCCCACCCUGUUUGUCGUGCGAUGGACAUGCCGGUUAGAUCCUGUAUAGUAUUUGCCCAAAAAAUGUUGUAUGACGUUGGGAAAGCGGCUUGCUGCCCUGGGUACUAGAUAUGAGGUAGAACGUACCAGGUGGAUCUAAUCUACAUCCAACAUUUAGCAUUAUUAAUAUACCAGAUGAUGGGGAUUCCGCAACGCACAGUAUUCAUUUCACUAACUGAGGCCUCUCUGUUGUCUGCUCACUGUUCAAUUGAGUGCUAGCAAAUUUGGCGUUGCAGUUAAUAACAAGAGUGUGGCGGGACCGGAGCUUGACGUCUCUGAAGGUCUUAUGCCAACCAAUCAGAGAUGAGAUAGUCUCGUCCAUUCAACAUUAGUGGUGAAGACCGUAGCUCAACAACA
rnacentral:sRNA from 1 species